rnacentral:tRNA from 1 species
GCAGUGGAGGUUCAGUGGUAGAAUUUUGCCUUCCAUGUGGGAGAUCUGGGUUCAACGCCCAGCCAAUGCU